UCGUCAGUGGUGCAAUUGGUUAAGCGCACACCCCCCGGAAAGGGUGAAAUGUUGGUUCGAGUCUCGCCUGGUGUCGAA